GUAGGUGGCAAGCGUUGUCCGGAAUUAUUGGGCGUAAAGCGCGCGCAGGCGGUUCUUUAAGUCUGAUGUGAAAGCCCACGGCUCAACCGUGGAGGGUCAUUGGAAACUGGAGAACUUGAGUACAGAAGAGGAAAGCGGAAUUCCACGUGUAGCGGUGAAAUGCGUAGAGAUGUGGAGGAACACCAGUGGCGAAGGCGGCUUUCUGGUCUGUAACUGACGCUGAGGCGCGAAAGCGUGGGGAGCAAACAGGAUUAGAUACCCUGGUAGUCCACGCCGUAAACGAUGAGUGCUAAUGUUAGGGGGGUUUCCGCCCCCCUUAGUGCUGCAGCUAACGCAUUAAGCACUCCCGCCCUGGGAGUACGGCCGCAAGGCUG
rnacentral:rRNA from 1 species